rnacentral:rRNA from 1 species
UACAGAGGUCCCAAGCGUUGUUCGGAUUCAUUGGGCGUAAAGGGUGUGUAGGUGGCGCCGUAAGUCGGGUGUGAAAUCUCGGGGCUUAACUCCGAAACUGCAUUCGAUACUGCGGUGCUUGAGGACUGGAGAGGAGACUGGAAUUCAUGGUGUAGCAGUGAAAUGCGUAGAGAUCUGGAGGAACACCGGUGGCGAAGGCGGCAUCCUGGACCGGUAUUGACGCUGAGGCGCGAAAGCCAGGGGAGCAAACGGG